rnacentral:rRNA from 1 species
AACGAACGCUGGCGGCAUGCCUAACACAUGCAAGUCGAACGCUCACCUUCGGGUGGGAGUGGCGCACGGGUGCGUAACGCGUGGGAAUCUGCCCUUGGGUUCGGGAUAACAGUUGGAAACGACUGCUAAUACCGGAUGAUGACUUCGGUCCAAAGAUUUAUCGCCCAGGGAUGAGCCCGCGUAGGAUUAGCUUGUUGGUGAGGUAAGAGCUCACCAAGGCGACGAUCCUUAGCUGGUCUGAGAGGAUGAUCAGCCACACUGGGACUGAGACACGGCCCAGACUCCUACGGGAGGCAGCAGUGGGGAAUAUUGGACAAUGGGCGAAAGCCUGAUCCAGCAAUGCCGCGUGAGUGAUGAAGGCCUUAGGGUUGUAAAGCUCUUUUACCCGGGAUGAUAAUGACAGUACCGGGAGAAUAAGCCCCGGCUAACUCCGUGCCAGCAGCCGCCGUAACAC